rnacentral:rRNA from 1 species
GUGAGGAAUAUUGGUCAAUGGGCGCAAGCCUGAACCAGCCAUGCCGCGUGCAGGAAUACGGCCUUACAGGUUGUAAACUGCUUUUAUAAGGGACGAAUGCCAGAUACGUGUAUUUGGAUCGACGGUACCUUAUGAAUAAGCAUCGGCUAACUCCGUGCCAGCAGCCGCGGUAAUACGGAGGAUGCAAGCGUUAUCCGGAUUUAUUAGGUUUAAAGGGUGCGUAGGCGGGCUACUAAGUCAGAGGUGAAAUCCUACGGCUCAACCGUAGCACUGCCUUUGAUACUGGUAGUCUUGAAUAGAGUUAAGGUAUGCGGAAUGUGUAAUGUAGCGGUGAAAUGCAUAGAUAUUACACAGAACACCGAUUGCGAAGGCAGCAUACUGGACUUAUAUUGACGCUGAGGCACGAAAGCGUGGGUAUCGAACAGGAUUAGAUACCCUAGUAGUCC